rnacentral:lncRNA from 1 species
UACUAUUAUUAUUAUUACACGUAAAUACGGGCUGGCUAACCUGGCUCGUCAAUGUAAAAAAAUAAAUUAAAUUAAAUAUAAAAUAUUAAUUUAUUUUAUUUGAAUUAUUUUUAUAAAAAAAUGGGAAAGUGUUGUGCCGUUGAUGGUUGUCUUAGUGGCCGAAAGGCAAGUGAGCAUUUAGGAAAAGUGGCUUUAUUCAAAGCACCAAAAGAUAUUGAAAUGCUCAGCAAAUGGAGCUCUGCUCUUGGCAAAGAAUUAAAAAAUACCAAUUUUAUUUGCGAAUUACAUUUUAAUCCAAACGAUGUUAUUAAAAGUAAUCAAGAGGUUCUAAAAGAUGGGAGUAUAUAUUUUUAUGAAUACGAAAAAGUUCAUUUGAAGAAGAAUGCAAUACCAAAAUCCAAUGUGAUUACCAAUGAAAAUAAUUACAGCUUAUUAUCAGAUGAUGUUCGUUCAAAUACCUCUGGUAUAAUUAACGAUGAUAUAACUGUCGACUGUAGUCUAAAUUCUAUUGAGUCUAUUGAGUCAAUAAUCGUAAAUGAAAUUGUAAACGAAGUAAUUGAGCCUGACAAUAAAAAUUCUACAAGCACAAAUUUUUCUAUUGGUACAAAUAUUUUGAUUAAUAGUGAUAAUUUGGUGAUCAUAAAUGAGCCCGAAAAGUUUUCGUUUCAUUCCAUAGAAAAAAUUUUAGAAGUUCAGCCACUACGUAAAAAUUGGAGUUGGACUGUCAUUAAAGAUUCAUAUAUUUCAUUAUCAUAAAUAAAUUUAAAAUUGGAAUUAGUUUGUCACGUAAAAAUUCAUAAAGAUCUAAAAGUUACGAUCGUGAAUGCCAAAACGAAUAUCCUUAUUGAUAUGGAUGUAAAUAUUUCGUCAAUUGAUUGUGUUUGGCAGUUAUUAAGUUCUUUAGAAAACACCUUUUUCUGUAGUGGAACUGGAUACGAUGACAAAAAAUGUUCAGUCACUUGUACAGGUAUAUUAUUGCCGGAGGAAAGAUAUAAAAGAAAAGUUGUGGAGUACAGAUGCAUUACUUGUCGAAAAUUGAGACGUUUGAUCCAAAAACGUAAGACGGAAACAACAAAUAAUGAAGCUCGAUGGAUGAGUUUUAAGCAUCGCUAUAUUUUACAACACAGAAAGCUCAAUCGAGUUGUUCACACGGUAUAUUGUCAGUCGACGAAAUAGCACUUAGCGAAGGCAUUGCAUUAAACCGUAAAACAUUACAACUGGAAGGUUUUGUAGACCUUGGGGAAUACACGCCUGACCAUUUAAGAUACACUAGAGCUGACCAUGCGUUGGUUUUUAUGUUUCAACCCUUUCAGGGCAAGUGGGUGCAAGUUGUUGGCCAAUUUUUAAGUAAAGAUUCAGUGACUAGUGAAAUUCUUCAGAAACUACUUUUAGAAUGUACAAUUCUGCUUGAGAAAGCUGGUUUUUAUGUGGACGGAAUUGUAUCAGAUGCAGCACAAUGGAAUCGCGGUGUAUGGAAAUUGCUCGGCAUACAAGAUGGCAACUAUAGUUGUGAGCACCCAUAUAAUUUUUCAAGACGUCUAUGGUUUUUUUCGGAUUUCCCUCAUUUAUUGAAAAAUUUUAGAAAUAAAAUUAUG